rnacentral:rRNA from 1 species
UACGUAGGUGGCAAGCGUUGUCCGGAUUUAUUGGGCGUAAAGGGAGCGCAGGCGGUGACUUAAGUCUGAUGUGAAAGCCCACGGCUCAACCGUGGAGGGUCAUUGGAAAUGGGUCACUUGAGUACAGAAGAGGAAAGCGGAAUUCCAUGUGUAGCGGUGAAAUGCGUAGAUAUAUGGAGGAACACCAGUGGCGAAAGCGGCUUUCUGGUCUGAAACUGACGCUGAGGCUCGAAAGCGUGG